CUAUACAUGACUCUGCGCAUAUCAAUAAGCGGAGGAAAAGAAACUAACAAGGAUUCCCUUAGUAACGGCGAGUGAAGCGGGAAGAGCUCAAAUUUGAAAUCUUCAAGGUUCUACCUUGACGAAUUGUAGUUUAAAGAAGUGUUUUCUGUUGGAGUUUUGGUAAAAGUUCUUUGGAAUAGGACAUCAUAGAGGGUGAGAAUCCCGUAUCUGGUCAUUCCUCCUAGCGUUGUGAUACACUUUCAACGAGUCGGAUUGUUUGGGAAUGCAGUCCAAAAUGGGUGGUAAAUUUCAUCUAAAGCUAAAUAUUGGCGAGAGACCGAUAGCGAACAAGUACCGUGAGGGAAAGAUGAAAAGAACUUUGAAAAGAGAGUUAAACAGUACGUGAAAUUGUCAAAGGGAAGCGUUUGACACCAGUGUUGUUUUUCCGAAAAUCAAUUACGAAUGUUUUAUUUUUGAGAAGUUAUGACUUCAUCGGCUUGCUUCUUUCUUUACGAAACUUUCUUAAUGCACUUUUCGGUUAACAAGUCAACAUCAAUUUCUUUUGUUGUAAAAGGGUAUGAGGAAGGUGGCUUUCUUUUCGGAGAAAGUGUUUAUAGCCUUGUGCCUCUGCAAUCGGAGAGAUUGAGGUCUGCAGCGUAGAUCCUUCGGGGUUAGAUACGUUUGUGCUAAGUUAUAGCUUUUCAUAGACAACUUGUUGACUAUGUUUAGUCUUGUAGCUUACUCGCUGACGCUAUUUUACCUACGCUUAGGAUGUUGACGAGACUGUCGAUCUCAUCUAUACAUGACUCUGUGCAUAUCAAUAAGCGGAGGAAAAGUCAUACCUACGCUUAGGAUGUUGACGAGACUGUCGAUCUCAUCUAUACAUGACUCUGCGCAUAUCAAUAAGCGGAGGAAAAGAUAAAUGCUGUAUACCUACGCUUAGGAUGUUGACGAGACUGUCGAUCUC
rnacentral:rRNA from 1 species